GACGUAGGUGGCGAACGUUAUCCGGAAUUAUUGGGCGUAAAGGGUGCGUAGCUGGCCUGACAAGUUAGCAGUGGGAAAUCGAGGCUCAACCUCGUGGAAACUGAUAAUACUGUCUGGCUCGAGUACAGGAGAGGUUAACGGAACUCCAUGUGGAGCGGUAAAAUGUGUAGAUAUAUGGAAGAACACCAAUAACGGCGAAGGCAGUUAACUAUUCUGUUACUGACAUUGAGGCACGAAAGCGUGGGGAGCAAAACGG
rnacentral:rRNA from 1 species